GAUGAACGCUAGCUACAGGCUUAACACAUGCAAGUCGCGGGGCAGCAUGGGGGUUGCUUGCAAUCCCCGAUGGCGACCGGCGCACGGGUGAGUAACGCGUAUCCAACCUGCCCUUCACCACGGGAUAACCCGGCGAAAGUCGGACUAAUACCGUAUGUUGUCCAUUGACGGCAUCCGAUUUGGACGAAAGGCUUGGCGGUGAGGGAUGGGGAUGCGUCCGAUUAGCCAGACGGCGGGGUAACGGCCCACCGUGGCUACGAUCGGUAGGGGUUCUGAGAGGAAGGUCCCCCACACUGGAACUGAGACACGGUCCAGACUCCUACGGGAGGCAGCAGUGAGGAAUAUUGGUCAAUGGGCGUAAGCCUGAACCAGCCAAGUAGCGUGCAGGAUGACGGCCCUAUGGGUUGUAAACUGCUUUUAUGCGGGGAUAAAGUGGCCCAUGUGUGGGCUUUUGCAGGUACCGCAUGAAUAAGGACCGGCUAAUUCCGUG
rnacentral:rRNA from 1 species